rnacentral:rRNA from 1 species
UUACACAGCCAUAUCACCCUGCAACUCACAACUGGCAACCCACUGAAGCUAAGCAGGUGUGAGCCUGGUAAGUACCUGGAUGGGAGACCUCCUGGGAAAAACUAAGGUUGCUGCUGGAAG